rnacentral:rRNA from 1 species
AUACGUAGGGGGCGAGCGUUGUCCGGAAUCACUGGGCGUAAAGGGUGCGUAGGCGGCACGUAAAGUCCCGUGUGAAAUGCUUCGGCUCAACCGAAGAGGGUCACGGGAAACUGGCGUGCUUGAGGGCCGGAGAGGAUGGCGGAAUUCCCGGUGUAGCGGUGAUAUGCGUAGAUAUCGGGAGGAACACCAGUGGCGAAGGCGGCCAUCUGGACGGUCCCUGACGCUGAGGCACGAAAGCUGGGGGAGCAAACAGGAUUAGAUACCCUGGUAGUCCCAGCCGUAAACGAUGGAUGCUAGGUGUUGGGGGUUUCGACACCCUCAGUGCCGCAGGACACCCAUUAAGCAUCCCGCCUGGGGAGUACGGCCGCAAGGCUGAA